rnacentral:rRNA from 1 species
AACGAACGCUGGCGGCAGGCCUAACACAUGCAAGUCGAACGCCGUAGCAAUACGGAGUGGCAGACGGGUGAGUAACACGUGGGAACGUACCUUUCGGUUCGGAAUAACUCAGGGAAACUUGAGCUAAUACCGGAUACGUGCGAGAGCAGAAAGAUUUAUCGCCGAAAGAUCGGCCCGCGUCCGAUUAGCUUGUUGGUGAGGUAAUGGCUCACCAAGGCGACGAUCGGUAGCUGGUCUGAGAGGAUGAUCAGCCACACUGGGACUGAGACACGGCCCAGACUCCUACGGGAGGCAGCAGUGGGGAAUAUUGGACAAUGGGUGAAAGCCUGAUCCAGCCAUGCCGCGUGAGUGAUGAAGGCCUUAGGGUUGUAAAGCUCUUUUGUCCGGGAAGAUAAUGACGGUACCGGAAGAAUAAGCCCCGGCUAACUUCGUG